AUGGCGAGUGGCGAACGGGUGAGUAAAGCAUCGGAACGUACCGUGUAGUGGGGAUAACGUAGCGAAAGUUACGCUAAUACCGCAUACGCACUGAGGUGGAAAGCAGGGGAUCGCAAGACCUUGCGCUAUACGAGCGGCCGAUGUCAGAUUAGCUAGUUGGUAGGGUAAAGGCCUACCAAGGCGACGAUCUGUAGCGGGUCUGAGAGGAUGAUCCGCCACACUGGGACUGAGACACGGCCCAGACUCCUACGGAGGCAGCAGUGGGGAAUUUUGGACAAUGGGGGAAACCCUGAUCCAGCCAUGCCGCGUGAGGUGAAGAAGGCCUUCGGGUUGUAAAGCUCUUUCGGCUGGGAAGAAAUCGCACAGGCUAAUACUCUGUGUGGAUGACGGUACCAGCAUAAGAAGCACCGGCUAACUACAUG
rnacentral:rRNA from 1 species